GAGACAGCCCUCUGGGUCGUAAACUGCUUUUAUUCGGGAAUAAACCUCAUUACGUGUAAUGAGCUGAAUGUACCGAAGGAAUAAGGAUCGGCUAACUCCGUGCCAGCAGCCGCGGUAAUACGGAGGAUCCAAGCGUUAUCCGGAUUUAUUGGGUUUAAAGGGUGCGUAGGCGGCUUAUUAAGUCAGGGGUGAAAGACGGUGGCUCAACCAUCACAGUGCCCUUGAUACUGAUGAGCUUGAAUACACUAGAGGUAGGCGGAAUGUGACAAGUAGCGGUGAAAUGCAUAGAUAUGUCACAGAACACCGAUUGCGAAGGCAGCUUACUAUGGUGUGAUUGACGCUGAGGCACGAAAGCGUGGGGAUCAAACAGGANUUAGAUACCCUGGUAGUCCAAGGGGCGAAAUUCCAGCACACNGGGCGGCCGU
rnacentral:rRNA from 1 species